AAACAUGUCCUUUUGUGUUUAUUUGAGGUCUAACCUGCUCAAUGAUGGUUUAAAUAGCCGCGGUAAUUUAACUGUGCUAAGGUAGCAUAAUAAUUAGUCUUUUAAUUGAGGUCUGGAAUGAAUGGUUGGACGAAAUAUGUACUUUAUUUUUUAUAUUAAUUUGAAUUUAUUUUUUUAGUAAAAAUACUAAAAUUUUUUAGAGGGACGAUAAGACCCUGUAGAUCUUAAUAAUUUUAUUUAUUUAUUUAUUUUUGUUGUUUUCUUUUUAUUUAGGUUGAUUUAUUUUGUUGGGGUGAUAACUAAAAAUUUAGACUUUAGUUUUUUUUUACAUUUUAUUUGUUUAUUUUGAACCUUAGUUUUUGUUUAUAAGAUAAAGAUACCUCAGGGAUAACAGCGUUAUACAGUUGGAGAGUUCUAAUCGAUAAUUGUGUUUGCGACCUCGAUGUUGGAUUAAAAUUAGGUUGUGGGGUAGGUUUCAUAAUUUUAGGUCUGUUCGACCUUUAGUAUU
rnacentral:rRNA from 1 species